rnacentral:rRNA from 1 species
CCUACGGGCGGCUGCAGUGGGGAAUAUUGGACAAUGGGGGGAACCCUGAUCCAGCCAUGCCGCGUGUGUGAAGAAGGCCCUCGGGUUGUAAAGCACUUUCAGUGAGGAAGAACGCCUGGUGGUUAAUACCCAUCAGGAAAGACAUCACUCACAGAAGAAGCACCGGCUAACUCCGUGCCAGCAGCCGCGGUAAUACGGAGGGUGCGAGCGUUAAUCGGAAUUACUGGGCGUAAAGCGCGCGUAGGUGGCUUGAUAAGCCGGUUGUGAAAGCCCCGGGCUCAACCUGGGAACGGCAUCCGGAACUGUCAAGCUAGAGUGCAGGAGAGGAAGGUAGAAUUCCCGGUGUAGCGGUGAAAUGCGUAGAGAUCGGGAGGAAUACCAGUGGCGAAGGCGGCCUUCUGGACUGACACUGACACUGAGGUGCGAAAGCGUAGGUAGCAAACAGGAUUAGAUACCCGAGUAGUC